GCAACGCCGCUGAGUGAUGAAWGUUUUYGGAUCGUAAAGCUUCUGUUGUUAGGGAAGACAAGUGCCGUUCGAAUAGGGCGGCACCUUGACGGKACCUUACCCAGAAAGCCSSGGSUWACUACGUGCCAGCAGCCGCGGUAAUACGUAGGUGGCAAGCGUUGUCCGGAAUUAUUGGGCGUAAAGCGCGGCGCAGGUGGUUCCUUAAGUCUGAUGUGAAAGCCCACGGCUCAACCGUGGAGGGUCAUUGGAAACUGGGGAACUUGAGUGCAGAAGAGGAAAGUGGAAUUCCAAGUGUAGCGGUGAAAUGCGUAGAUAUUUGGAGGAACACCAGUGGCGAAGGCGACUUUCUGGUCUGUAACUGACACUGAGGCGCGAAAGCGUGGGGAGCAAACAGGAUUAGAUACCCUGGUAGUCCACGCCGUAAACGAUGAGUGCUAAGUGUUAGGGGGUUUCCGCCCCUUAGUGCUGCAGCUAACGCAUUAAGCACUCCGCCUGGGGAGUACGGUCGCAAGACUGAAACUCAAAGGAAUUGACGGGGGCCCGCACAAGCGGUGGAGCAUGUGGUUUAAUUYGAAGCAACGCGAAGAACCUUACCAGGUCUUGACAUCCUCUGACAACCCUAGAGAUAGGGCUUUCCCCUUCGGGGGACAGAGUGACAGGUGGUGCAUGGUUGUCGUCAGCUCGUGUCGUGAGAUGUUGGGUUAAGUCCCGCAACGAGCGCAACCCUUGAUCUUAGUUGCCAGCAUUCAGUUGGGCACUCUAAGAUGACUGCCGGUGACAAACCGGAGGAAGGUGGGGAUGACGUCAAAUCAUCAUGCCCCUUAUGACCUGGGCUACACACGUGCUACAAUGGACGGUACAAAGGGCAGCGAGACCGCGAGGUUUAGCCAAUCCCAUAAAACCGUUCUCAGUUCGGAUUGUAGGCUGCAACUCGCCUACAUGAAGCUGGAAUCGCUAGUAAUC
rnacentral:rRNA from 2 species